UGAGAAACCCUAUAGAAGGGAGAGUCGAUCUGAGAGAUGAUUGCUGAUUGCUUUAAUAAGAAUUGUAUCCGUGUUUUAUCUGAGAUGGUUUGAGUGAUUUUUUUCUACGUGACUAUUUUUGUUUACGAUGAUGUGAGUGUGAUUUGUUUUGUGUUAUCUUAACACGGUUUAUUUUCGAGAUUUUGGAGAACGAGAUUAUUUUUAAAUCGGGAAAUGGCAUACAGCUAUUUUUUUUAUUUUGCAUAUCAGUUUUUUUUUUAUGAGAAAUAUUUUACUGAGAUAUAUAUAUAAAUAAGUUUAUGAUGAGAUGAGAUAUUCCAAUAGUUUGAGCUAUUGUAUUUUUGAUGAGGUUAAAAAUUCCUUUCCUUUCGAUAAAAUUGUAGCAGCUCAAGCGUAGCUGAGCUCUGCUCUGGAGGCAGAGCUGAAAACCGAGCUCUGCUCUGGAAGCAGAGCUGAAGUUGAACCGAGCUCUGCUCUGGAAGCAGAGCUGAUGUUGAGCCGAGCUCUGCUCUGCUCUGACGACAGAGCUGAAAACCC
rnacentral:lncRNA from 1 species